rnacentral:rRNA from 1 species
CUUACGGGAGGCAGCAGUGGGGAAUCUUAGACAAUGGGCGCAAGCCUGAUCUAGCCAUGCCGCGUGAGCGAUGAAGGCCUUAGGGUUGUAAAGCUCUUUCGUGGGGGAAGAUAAUGACGUACCCCAAGAAAAAGGCAAAAAACCCC